CCCAGCCGAGCCAGGGUCUUAUAUAGACAGGUCUUGCCAUGACUUCACAAUGUGAAGGCACAUGUGAGGGCACAGCAAGAAAUGGGCCAAUUAUGCAAUCAUGGCUGGGGAUGUCUGAGACCCCAGUGGUUUCCUCACUUUUUAUUCCCAAAACCCCUUUACUCAAUAAAAAAAAAAAAGACCCCCAAUGGGCUUUUUGUUUGUUUGUGUGGGCUUUUCAAGAUUGAUAUUUACUUUGUUAGAAAUCAAAAUCUAUAAGAUGGUUCAGUGGCCUUUUCACUUCAAGUUUAGAAAACUGUAAUUUUGGCUUGUAUAGACCUCGUAAUGUCUACACUUAAAAUACCCAGUUCCUGGUCUCAAAAUGGUGCUACAACAUAUAAGGAAAUGUUGUGUUGUGUACAACACGAUAAGGCUCAUUAUUAACAUCUAUAAAGCUCAGAGGAAGAUUGCUUCUCAUCAUAUUUUCACUGAUAAGGUUGUGAGGAGAUUUCUCAUCAGAAACCUUGGAGGCUAGAAGGCAUGGGUUGAUGUGUUUAAAGCACUGAAGGAAAAAAGCUGUCAACCAAGAAUCCUACAUUUGGGAAAACUGUCCUUCAAAAAUGAGGAAGAAAUGAAGACAUUCCCAGAUCAACCAAAGCUGAAAGCCUUGCCCUGAUGACUAGACCGGCCCUGCAGUGAAGGGGGUCCUUAAGGUUGAAAUGAAAGGGCACUGAACAAGUAACUCGAAGCCUUCUGAAGAGAUAAUCUCCGGUAAAGGUAAACAGACAGACAAUUAUGAACGCUAGUACUGUUAUGACUUUGGUCUGUAGCUCUACUUUUUGUUCUCUAUGUUAAGAGACUGAUAUAUUUAAAAACCUAAUUAUUCAUCUAUGCUUUUGGACACAAGAUGCAUAAAGAUGUGAUUUUGUGACAUUAACAACUGACAGAAGGUGGGGUCAGGGCUGUAAAGUAGCUGAGUUUUCAUGUGUUAUUGAGGUUAAGCUGGUAUAAAUUGACACUACAAUGUUGUAACUUUAGGAUGUUAAAAGCAAUCCCAUGGUAACCACACACAACCACACACACACACACACACACACACGCCACAGAACAUACACAAAAGGAAAUGAGAAGGGAAUUAAAAUGUUUCACUACAAAAAAAAAAAUCAACUAAAUGCAAAAGAAGAUAGUCAUGCAGAAAGUUUGAGACAGAAAGCAAUUAAGGCAUAUAGAAAACAAAGAGCAAACCACAGAAGGAAUUCCUUCCUUAUCAGUAAUGACUUUAAAUGUAAGCAGAUUAAACAGAUUAGUGAAAUGGAUAAAAACAUAGGAUCCAACUCUCUGUUACCUACAAGGGACUCAGAUCCAAAGACACAAAAAAGGUGAAUGUGAAAGGAAGGAAAAAGAUAAUCCAUGCAAAUGCAGCCAAAAGAAAGGGUGGAGUGGCUGUAAUAAUACCAGACAGAACAGACGUUAAAUCGGAAAAUGUUACAAGAGACAAAGAAGGACAUUUUAUAUGAAUUAAGAGGUUCAGUACAGCAAGAAGAAAAGAUGAUAAACAUUUACACACAUAAUGAGAGGCCAUUAUCGACAGAACUGAAGGGAAAAAUAGUUCUAUAAUAAUCGUUGGAGCCUUCCAUAUCCCACUGUCAAUAACGGACAGGACAACCAGACAGAAGGUAAGUAAGGACACAGAGGAUUUGAAGAACACCAUAGCCCAGCCAGAUCUAACAGACGGGCACGGGACCCCACCCAACAAUAACGGCACGCGGGACCUUCUCUGAGACAGUCUUUGCAUUAGGUCACGAGUUAAGUCUCAGUAGAUUUCACAAGAUAGAUAUCAUACAAAGUAUCUUUUCCAACCACAAGAAGAUGAAGUCAGAAAUGGGUAACAGAAGGAAGAGUGGAAAAUUUAAACAGCUGUGAAAACUGAAAACACACUCUCAAAGAACCAAUGUGUCGAAGAAGAAAUCACAGUGGAAUGCGAACAUACGUAGAGGUGAAGGGAAAUGAAACACGACGCGUCAAAACUCCUGGAAAACAACAAAGCAGUGGCGAGGGGGAAAUUUAUAGCUGUAAACGCUCACAGUAAACAUCAAGACAGAUCUUAAAUCAACACCAUAGACGUGCAACUUAAGAAACUAGAAAAAGCCAAAGGUAGCAAAGGGAAGGACAUAAUAAAGAUUAGAGCGGAGAUAAAUGAAACAGAGGCUAGAAAAACGAAAGAGAUAAUCAAUGGACCCAAGAGCUGGUCCUUUGAAAACACCAAACUGCUAGCCGGAUUGCCGGUGGAGGCAGAGAAGACUCAAUGACUGCAUUGCCACUGACUCCUUACAGACGUAGGAAGGGUUAGAGUGCUAUCAACAAGUGUAUUCCAGCUAAUUGGAGAAUCCAGAUACAAUGGACCAAUUUCUAGACCUAGAAAACCUACCAAGACUAAAUCACAAAGAAAGAGAAAAUCGGAAGAGAUUCGUACAUAACUAGGGAGGAGCCUGAGGCUGUAAUCGAAGAUCACUUGACCAAAAAAAGCCCCGGAUCUGACAGCCUCACUGGUGAAUUCUACCAAACAUUGGAAGAAUUGACACCAAUCUUCUCAAACUCUUCCAAAAAAUUCAGGAAAGAACACUUCCUAACUAGUUCUAUCAGGCCGCCAUUGCUUUGAUGCACCCUAAAUAUCUCUGGGCCACCUUCCAGACAGUCACCAGAGGAGUUUUCUAAAAUAUCCAGCCAGAUGAGUUAUUUUCUCAGCGACAAAAGAGACCUUUCUCUUGUCUGUGGAAAGAGAGGACCAGCAGUGUCUCCAGAAUCAGGCUGAACAUCUAUGGACCUCUUCUGAGAGCCUCCGUCCACAACGGAUGGGCCACACCGCAGACUGGACACAGCUGAAGCGGGGCAGGGGGUGGGGUGGGGAGGGGAGAAUUCACGGAGGUAACCUGGGCUUCAAUUGGUCUGUCAGCUGCUUUGACUGCUUUGGGCAUCUUUGAAUACAACAAGCCAUGUCCUCGUUGGACACUGGGAAAGGACAAUCUAUCUGCACAUCCAGCCCUAUGGGCUGGAGUCUCCCAAACGAGGCCAUCGUUUGUUUUGGCAACUCUGCUCCACCACAACAUUCAUCAGACUCCUGAGAAAGACGACCGAUGAAGGGAUCCAUAAAUGGGUUGGCAGGCCCUGCCUGCCUUUCCAUCUGCCCAGUGCUGGCCUUGAACACCCGGAGUGGCUUCUCUGCACGCUCUCCUGUGGGCUGCCUUCCUGCCUUGGUGCUGGCGCCCAGAGCUUGAGACCCAUUUCUGUCUGCAAGAGGACUGUGGUCUUUGCCCUUGCUCCGCUGAGCUCUGGCUGCCACCUGCAUCCAGCAUGCGUUCCCAGCACCCCCCGUCCCGGCUCCAGGCCGAGUUCAUCUGGGGCCUGCUACCAGGUACAGUGACCUUCCCCUUCCCUUGCAGACAUCAACUGUGAGUCAGCACUGAAUGCAGGUCCCCAGUAUACCCAUACCUUGCCAGCCUCAUCCUCAGUGCACACUCCCAGCUAGGAGUAGGGAUUUGGGGUGAGUGAGACACAGCCCCGUCCUCAGGCCUUGGCCUUUCUGACUCAGGAGGCUGACACACACGUGUACCAAUGAGGGACACAAAUACCCUGUCUUCUGUGACGGGGGGAGGGCGGUGAGCCUGGGAGAGCCCAGAAGAAGCCUGGAGGGCUUCCUGGAAGAGGUGGUGCCAAAGGUGUGCGAUGUUUCAUAUGAUCUCCGCAGUCCUUGGGUGUAAGCACCCUAGAGAAAGACACCUCCAUGGGGACUGUUGAGUCUAUCGCUACUGGCUAGGUGGCAUUUGGUGACAAAGGAACAAAUGGUCUGAGCUUCCUCUGCCUAGUCCUGGAUUGUUGGGGGUCUGGUUUCUUCAGGGCGACAGAGACACAGCCAUGGCUGACUGUUCUGGGGCCCUGGCUCCUGCCUUGCUCCUCUCUCCAGAACACGGGACACUGCGGUUGACCCCUAAACAGCUCUGUUCCUCCACCCCCCUGUCUCCGUACCCUUUGCACUAUGAUGGGGCAGCUCUUCCCAUCAGGGGUGGGGUCUAGAUCCCCCCGCUUUGAAUCUGCGCUGGCUCCGUGACUUGCUCUGGCCGACAGAAUGUGGUGGAAAUGAUGCCGUGCCAAUUUCAGGCGUAGGCCUCAAAGAGCCUCGUGGCCUUGCGUGCCCACCCUCUCGGGACCCUGGCACCACCAUGUGCAGAAGCCCAGACGGCCUCCUGGAAGAAUGGGACACGUGUAGCCUACUCACCACCGCCCCUAGUCUCCCCGGCCAACAGCCAGCCGGCAAUCAGCCGACCCCUGCCAUUGACCACACAUGCUUGAGGGAGCCCGGAAGACCUGCCCGAGCAGCUAGCUGCCCAGCUAAGUCAACAGUUGGUGCAAGCCGCUACAUUUCGGGGUGGUUAUUCCGCAGCAGAAACUAACUGAUCCCGGCAUCCCAGCAUUCUGGGCAGGAUGCACAGGCUGCAGGAUCUAUAGGCAGAGGCCUGGCUGCAGACAGAUGGACUGGUGGCCUCGGGACCGUCACCUGGCCCUCAUGUUUGCUGUCACCUGGGUUCUGCUCUACAGCUAGGAUCUGCAGUCAGCACAGUUACGACCAAGGUAUAGUUGGCCCGGGAGUGGCUGCGCCUAAGCCAUCUGGCCUCCUCUGCGGUUUCCUGGACCUACCCAGGGCCUUCCAGCCGCUUUCCGUGACACUCCAGGUGAAAGCCAAAUGCCUCACCAUCCCACACGAUGCUCCCUACUCCCACCCUGCUCCCAGCUUUGCGCCUCUCACUGCACUCCAGACACACCUGCCUCCAACCCAUAAGACCCAACCUGACCUCCGGGCCUUUGCAUGUGCAGCUCUCCUGACUAGCAUGCUCUUCCCGGAUACCCGCACGGCUCCCCCCCAUUUCCUUCAGGCUCUGACCCAGUAGGUUUGUUAAACAAACCGGAGAUCACAGAUCUUUCUUACAAAUGGCCUGCGUCACUCCCUGCACACUCCUCCCGCUUUAUUUCUUUUCAGAGCAAUUAGCAUGACUGGGUGCAAAAGUGUCCACAUUGUGAGACAUCCAGUGGGAGCCAGCGAAGGUUAGGAAGGGAGGGUGGGAUGCUGAGAAAGACGUCGGCAUUGGGACUUCAUAGCAUACAGCCACUGGCUGGGAGCCGAUGUGUCCUGAAGCAGCCUGGCACCCCCCACUGCCAGACAAACCAGCAGAGACACCGUUGGCAGUGCUUCAGCCACAUGUAGGAGCCGGUAUGGCACUCGGCAGCACAAGCCCAGAUUUAUGGCCAUGGCAUAACUGCUUACAAGUGUCAUGCAGGUGACACAUGUUUGUCAAAAACACCUCGUCUUGAGGUGGCCACAGAGAGCAGUUCCUGGAACACAAGGGGCUUCGCAAAGCAAGGCGUCCCUGGGGCUCCUGCCUUCUGAAACCCCUUAAUCGAGGGCCCACCAUUUAGGGCCCUUCUCAAAGUUUCUAGAGCCUACAAAAGAGAGAAGUCUCUAACUGGAGCUGGGACUCCCUGGCCGCAAACAGGAGCAACACCGGCUGGCCUGGCUCAGCCUCGGAAGCCGGGGAGGGCACCCUCCAGGGCCAAGGAGGCCCAGGGCAGGCCCAGACCCACCAUGGAUCCAGGGUUCAGGGACAAAGCUCUUCUGCACUCCGUGAGGGGCCCCAUGGCAGACCCAUCCCCGGGUCCUGGGCCAGUCACCAGGAGGGAGAGCUAGGGCCUGGUCGGGGUCCAAAGGGACCAUGCAGUCUCGUGGUAAAGAGCGUGGAAUCUGGAGCCUCAUAACGGCUCUGAGCCUCAGCUUCCGCAUCUAUAAGAUGAGUGUAAAAACAGUGUCUCCACACAGGGUGACGAGGACCCCACGGAAUGCUCAGACCGGGCCCCGGCACAUCACAAAUGCUGCAGAAGUGAGUUGUCAUCCACAUCAUCAGAGGCCAUGACUCUGCAUCACUCAGAGCAAGGGUGGAGCCUUCCCGGCAAGGAUUCGACUCUGUUCCAGGAAGAAGAGAGGCAAUGAGCAAAAAGACCACAGCAGGCAUGUCGUAGAGGAGGAAACGGAGUGCACAGAUGAACACGGGAAAAGCUGCCCGAUGUCACGAGGAUGCAGGGAAGUGCAAGGUAAGGUCCCCGUGAGAGAUUUCACAUCCAUCAGGCUCACAGUGAGGAAGACAUGUGACAUCUGACAGCACCGAGGGUCUGAAAGGAUGGAGAUCAGCUGGCACCCACGGUUGAUGAGUGUGAAACCUGGUCUGGCCACACUGAAAACCGCUUUGGCCUUUUCUUGUUAGGUUGACCAGUCCCAUGCCUUAGCACCCUGCAAAUCCACUCCCAGGAGCCACACAAGGCACACCCAAGAAGAGUUCGUCGCAGCACUGUUAGCAAGAGGAGGGGGAGAGAGGAAAUGACCCAGAUACUCCCUGACAGAGCAAUGCAAAAAGAAAUUGUAGCACGGUCACACAAUUUCUUUCCACACUGGUGACAGCAAACUCCAGCUACACAGCAGCACGGCUCAAGCUCAGAGAGAGGGAAAUGUUGAGUACAAAAAUGCAAAUUUUAGAGAUCUACGUACAGAGAGGAAGUUUUUAGAGCUUGAGAACGAAGAAGCAAUCUAAUGUUUAGGCUUAUUCAGUCGGCCUGUGAGCAAGAGAAUGGCAAACAAACAAACACCAAAUUGCAGAGAGGGGUGACCUGCAGGCAAGGAGGAGAUGGAAGUGACUGGGAAUGUUCUAGUUCUGGAGUUGAGCUGUGGGCCCACGGAUGUUCAUUGUCCCACCAUCCUUCAGAAUGCACGAAACACACGAAGUAUUAAAACAGAACAGAGGCAAAGGGGAAAAACAAGAAGAGAAACAUGGUGUGGGUCCAGACACAUCCAGUAUGAUUUCCUUGUCACACACAUAGUUGACUGUUUUCACGUGGUGUCACGGGGGGUCCCAAGAGUUCCGUCGAGAGGCCAGAGCGGGAAGUGAAAGGACAGGCAAUUGGACGAGGGCAUUCUUCCCUCUGGGCCUCGUUUCUUCAUAUGCAAAAUGAGGGGGUGUACCAGGAGUGCCAAAUGGCUGGCGUGCAUAACCCAGGCCUCCCCUUCCUGACCCGCUGCGGACACUACUCGUGCAUUGCAGCACUGUUUCACAUGGAGCACAGACACGCAGCGUUGGGCUCUGCAGCUGGGCCCUGCAGGCUGCCGGGAAUGCCAGUCUGAGAGGGCACACUAAGUGAUACCUACGUGCUGAUCUGGAGAGACCCAGAUCCCUCCAGCUGUGGCCUGGAAGGUUCUGAUGCCUCACCAGCAGGCACUAGCUAGUCUGAGAGGCAGGGGCCCUAGGGAGGAGCCGACUGGCUUUGGUACUGACCCUAGCCGGACCCUGGCAGCGUGCAGCCUCAGCGUCUACACUGCCCACGCCUGUGGCCUCCGGUCCGCCGCGGGGGGGCCCCUGGCCCCCCCAUCAUCUGACCAGAGCCCGUGCUCCCAUCCGUCGGGUGGGCAGGCUCAUGUCUACGCUCUGCGGGUGAGCUCUGCUGGACCUGAAAACGGCAAGAUGGGCGGAGGGCCAGGCAGGAGCUCAGCUUCACCCUCUAGCCCAGAGAGCCGUGGAAGCGGCCCCGUUGUGCCAGAUUCAACCAGCUCUCCGAGGCAGGAGGAUGGCGUUCCUUUCACCACCGCCUAGGUCUGCCUGGGCCUGCAGGCCUUUGCUCCUCUGCUCCCCUCGCUACCUGCCCCCCUGCCCCCGCCUGUCCCCUCUUCCUCCCCUUAUGGUCCCAGCUCACAAGACUCCUCCUUGGUUGUGCUAUUCCAUCUACCUCCCACCCCCCAUCCCCCCAGUGAGCGCUGACGUGCCUUCCUCUAGACAACCACCACACAGAGGUCAGCUUUCCCGAGGAGAGCUUGUGUGCUGGGUCUGGUCCAGUUUCUGUGGGUGUCUGUCCCCUCCAGUAUGGGGAGCCCAGCAGGGGCCACCUCACACCCGCAUGAAGAUAAUACCAUCAAACAGCCACAAUUCCUUGGAAUCAAUGGGCUUCUCCGAGAACUGUCCACCUACUGCCUCAGCCGCACAGCCAGUGAGGUUGGCAGUCGGGGAAUGGUACCUCCCUCCCUAUUCCAACAGCGAGAAACUCAAGGGCCACAGAGGGGGGUGACUUUUCCAGCAUCACUGCCCACCCUCCAACCUUCUGGGAGGCUGAGAAGCUUUUCUGUCAUGUCCCAUCAGGGCCCUCAAACCCCAGGAAACACCUCACUUCCCCAGAGCAGGGGCCUGAUGAGUGACCACAGCCCCUAAUCAUGGAGCAUCUGGUUUCAUCCUGGUCCCUGUGGAUUCUUUUAACAACAAGAUCACGCGGAGAGACAUCAUACCCAGGGACGUGAUGCUUCGGCGAUUCGUCUCUCUUUCAUUUUGUUCACCUGAUACACGUUUUAAAUGACUACGGGGCUGUGUACACAGGAAGCCUUGAUUCACUAGAAAGAACCGUGGCGGGUUUUCUUAGAAGAAGACAAAGUCAGGAAUUUAAGGCAUCCACACAUGUCCAUUGAGCAGAGUGGAGACAAAGAUGUCUCUCCCGCUGCUGUGUCCGGGAACACAGCUGCCCACACACGCCCACCACACCCUCGGAUCAGAGCCUGCCACUGAUAUCCACGGUGUGAAAGGGCUUGGAACCCACUGUCAUCGUUAUCACCAUCCCUCGACCCCAAGAAGCCAACACCAUGAGCUUGCAAAGGCACUCCAACAGGAACGCUCACUUGUGUUCCCAGGAAUACACACAGACGCCAGAUAUUUACUUCUGGUUCCAACUUCUCCUGGGUUCAUCCUCUUUCAAGUCCUGGAAACUCUGGGCACCACUUCUUGCCCUACAAUCCCUCCGUCAGAUCCCCCCAUCGCCCACUCUCCCAGGAAGCUCCCCCACCUGGACACCUCCAAAUCCUCCUCAAAGCCGUCUCUGACUCCCCCUCUUCCCGGCCUUCUCGCUGGCCUCUUUACACUAAUUUCCUGCUAGAACGAUCAUAAUGGGUUCAAAUGCUGCCGCUUGCACACCUAUCUCCCCCGUCACGGGGCAGGUUGUGGGAGCAGGGCGCAGGGCUGAUGUACCCCCUUACCUCCAGCCCCUCAGCAUGGGCCCGGGCACAUGGGUGGGGGGUGGAGUAGGGCCUCAAAGAAGCAUGAUCUAAAUCCCUGGGCUCUGUUUUCCUCCAACUUAGAGUGUAGUGAAAGAGCUCUAAUGACAAAGAAGGUAAAUUCUAGGUAUUCUGAACAGAGACCAGGCCAUCCUUUCCUGAGUACUUCACAGCGAAGCCAAGACCUCACUGGUGAGUAACUGUCAACUGCCCAACAGUGGGAGUGAAGAACUUUCCCAGGAGAGAGAGAGUCACAGACAAAUGUUGUAAGGAGGGAGGGAGCAACUUGUGUAAGGACCGAAAGGCCAGUGGUGCCUCCGCAAAGCAAUGGGGCGAUGGGCAAGAGUUCAUGGAUUAUGCGUAUCGGUUAGGUUAGGAUGGAUUACGCUGCGUAACACACAAUUCUCUAAAUCUCAGUGGCCUACAAUAAAGUUUCUUUAUGUCUCAGACUACAUGCACAUGUGGCUCUCCUUCGUCUCUUCUCCCCUCUGGACUCAGGUUGACAGAGCAGUCUGUCUCUAUCUGGAAUAUUGCCAUUGUCGUGGAAAAAGGAAAAGAAAAGUGGUAAAUUACUCACUGGUUCUUAACGCGUGUGCUCACAUCUGUUUUCACUGUUCAGCAGCCCCUCUGCCAUGCCUGAGGACAAAAUGGGCCGUGCUGUAUAAUCCUCCCACCGAGCAGGGCACUUCGAUACAGGGCACCGAAUGUGGGGGAGUGGUAAUCCAGUUCCACACCGUGCUUAUGAGUUUGACGUCUUUCCUAGGAUCAGUGAAAUCUGUUGAAUAAACUGUUCAUUUCUAAAAAUCCCUCUGGCUGUAGUGAGAGACACAGAUUGGAAGUGGGCAAGGGUGGGAUUCGGGAGAAAAUUCAGGAGGCUGCCUCAGUUGCCCAGGCAAAAAAAAAAAGAAAAGUACUUUACACUAGGGUCAUGGCAGUGGAAAUGGAGAGAAGCCAAGAGAUUGAAAAGAUGGAAGGGUCUAGUGAUGUACAAAGAGGAGCAGAGGUGAGUGAAUGUGUGACCCCAGAAUGGCGAAAAGAUACAGCAGGCUUGGCUUCUCAUGUCUUAAACAGUUGCUGGCUCCCAUCUUUGGGGAGGACCAGCUACUCUACUCUCUGCUUGUCCUUGGGCUGUCUAUGUUCUCCUAAGAAAUCUCCCUUCUUGCUUGACAAAAAAGGCUGAGCUCAAUAAAGAUGGGAAGACACGGAUGGGGUGAGCAGCCGAGUGAGCCGACAAAUGAGUGACACAGUGACCAGGGGAAUUAAUUCAUGUCUCCAAGUGUUCAAAGAGUGAAGAGAAACUAGACUCAACCGGAAGAAAAAGAAAGUCCUCCCACUGGGCAUGCCUCAAAAGGAUCCCUCACCUCCCUAGUGACACAUCAGGCAUCUUUCUUCUUCCACGGGGCUGUGACCAAUUUCGGCUAUAACAGAGAAAGGGGAAUGGGUGAGAGAAGAAGAAGGGAGGGACAGGGAGGCAGAGGAAGGAUGGGCUCCAUGGACACAUAGCAACCUCUAUCGGAUCCUCUCCUCUCCUCCAUGUGGCCUCCCUCCCUAUGCUUCCUUUUAGAGUUCCAGACUUGACUUUCAGUGGUGGGAGGGCUUGGGAUUCACAAACACCUCAAAAGAGAAUUUCUGUAGCAGCAGCAUUAGGCCACCUGACAGGAACUUAGAGCCUUGGGGUCCACACAGGCACAGAAAGCCGCGGGGUCUCCUCUGCCCUGGGUGUUCUCAAUAGCCAAGAAGAGGAAGGUUCAGACACAGAACUGUAUGGCACCUUCUCGGCCCCUCCCCGACCCAUGUUCCCAGUGCACCCCGAUCAGCUCGGGGAAGGGGCCACAUCGAUUCCUGCCACCUGCCUGUGCCGGGGCUGUCUGCACGCUCAGAAACCAUCGGCUUCCCAUUAGGCAGAUCAAUAGCCUCCACUGGUUUCCAAUUUGUGUUUCCAGAAAUUCAUCUCCCAGCCACCUUUUUAAUUAACCCCCCUACACCACACCUGGGGCACAGAUACACCACCCGCCCUGGGCCACCUCUGCAGACCACAGACCACGACGCUCCGCGAGCCACAGGGGAGCUGCAGGUGUGUUUAAAGCUGACCAGCUGCUUCCCGGUCACCGCAGGAGCUGACCCUGCUGGCUGGAUGCCAUCCACUCUGUCCCCUGCUCCUCGCUGAACCCCCGUGGAAGGGGCUGGGUCCUCCCUCACAGAAAGAAAGCAGGUCAAGAAAGAGGCCAAGGCAGUGUCCUGAGGUCCCCCAGCUGGCAAGAGCUAGGACAAAGCGCUCCCCAGAUGCCGCAGGACAAUGGGGUCUGGCUGGCAGGUGAGCAGGAGGGGCCAGCAGCUGUAGGUUCAGGGCAGGAAAAGGUGGAGGGAGUGUGAUCCCCAGGAGCCUCUGCUUUCCCACACCUGGGGUCUCCUGGGUAUUCCGCACUGCUCACCUGUCUACCCCUCCGGGGCCUAGCACCCCAUCAGUGUCUCCAUCACUGCUGCAUCCCUGGUGCCUGGCACAUAGUAGGUGCUCAGUAAUGGCCGCUAAAUGAGCAGUAAAUACUUGCCGCACUUUGCCCUGGGCAGUGUUCCCACAGCUUCUCUAAAUGACCUUAUUUCAAUUUCACAGCUGUCCUCGAGGCGGGCAAAACUAGUGUAUGCAUUUGAUAGGUGGGAAGACUGAGGCCCCGAGAGGUUCAGUGACUUCCCCAAGGUCACAUGGCGAGUCAGCGGUAGAGCUGCGAUCUGAACCUGACUCUGGAACUGCACUCCACGCUCCCUUACCUAUUUUCCCGGUGGCCUCAGCUCUGAAGGGCAGGAACUGGUUCCUGUGCCCCUUGGAACCUCCACCAUAUAAACGUGUUUGUUGAGUGAAUAAAUGAGUGAAUUAUGCACUCCUUGUCCUUUAAAACACAGUACAGUCAACCAGUCUGCUGGCACAAAUCUGGAGUGUUUCUGGUCGGGGAUGAAGGGGAGGGAGGAGUGAAUCUCCUGGGGGACCCAGAGGUGACAAGCCUCUCAGUAGUUCCAACUCGGGGGCCAUUACUAGGGACCCUCUGAUCUCCCCCCACCUCCUUGCUCACCAGUCUGUUAUAUUGGGGUUCUCUGUCAUGUAUACAGAGGGCACAGAGCCAUGAUUUGGUUUUAUGUGGUGUCUUGAGACUUUCCAGUGAGAUAAGUGGAUUACUGUUGACCCAACAUCUGGGCAAAAAGAGCCUGCUAUGCGUGGUCAUCCAAGUCAGCUUCUGGAGGUGGCCAAAGUGAGACAUGAAGGGAAGGGGGCCAUGAUGGACCCUGCACCUGUGGCCAGUGAGAGCAGCAUUUGCUGUAUGCAAGUAUGGUUCUGAGCUCUUGACGCAUUUAAUCCUGAGCACAGCUCCACGAAAUUGUGCCGGUGAAUGAGGCCAAGUAAUGUGCCCAAAGUCACACAGCAGCAGGAGUUGGGCAGGGAAUUCAGCCUUCACCACGCCGUGCCCUUAACCCUGGGGCAACGCUGCUUCCCUGUGGCACAGCGGGCUAACCCGCUGUGAGCACAUGAGUGGGUGUUGGGGGAGAAUCCACGGAUCUGCACUGCCUGGUGCCUCCUACAGGGGGCUACGGCCCAUGGGCCCCCGAUUCAUCCGCAUCAGAUGACGUCCCCUUCUCACUCCCGUGGAGCGUGGCUGGGCCCCGAGUACGCACUCCAAACACAUUCAUAAAACCAGUGACCGAACAGACGUCUGGGGGUGGGGGGAACAGCCAUUAUGGAAGUUCGAGGCCUUGGAGUUCACACCCUCACAAUCCUACGUGUGCAUCCACUUCUCCCAAAUAUAUCAUCUCAGAUCUGCUUGAGAAGAGAUGUCCAGUGCCAGCUCCGUGACCCAUUAAAGCUAACCAGCCGUGCGGAGUUAGCGGAAAUGAUGAAAAUAGUUGAAGGGUCGGGUGGUUUUAUGGGAAGGCUUACAUCUUAAUGAAAUGCCAGCCCAGAGCAACAGUGACCAUGUGAGAUGCCACAAAGCUGGCAGAUCCCUGGCCACUCCUCGCUGCUUUUGCCAUUUUCGAUGUGAAGCGGGUGUGGCUUGGCUCAGGUGACCACCAGGGAACCAGGGAGGCCUCGGGGCCUCCGUGUGACCCCAGAGGUCAUCCAGGAGCCAGAAGAAGAUGGGCCAGGGCUGAUCAGGGCAGUGGUAGAGAAAAGCAACACCAUUUCCCACUCCAAUGGCAAAGUCCAGGCCCUCUAGGAAUCAUUCAGAUAAGUAAAGGCAGUGGGCAGUUAGACGCUUCCUACUUGUUUAAUCUUCCCAGGAAUCAGUUCAGGUGAGACUUACUGUCUCCAUCUUAUGCACGAAGGAACUAAACAGGCUCCGAGAGGCCAAGUGCCUCACCAAAGGCCACACAGUGGGUAGGUGACAGAUAUCACAGGAUUAGGACCAAAGCGGGUUCCAUUACUCACGUUCCAAGAGGAAGCACUGCCCAACAUCAGGAGGGAACCCCAAAUAUGGCCUCAGGGUGGUCAGUGCUUUCUUAACAGUAUGGUUUUGCCAGGACCUCCACUCAAGGUCUAGGACUCUGCCUCCGACUGCCUGAUCUCCCAGAACUUUGAGCCGCUGGGUCUGUCACUCCAGGUAAGCCCCCGUGGCCACGGACGAGACGAUGGAGCCCUUGGCUCGCUGCCAGCUGGCCUCAGAAUGUGGCUCAGCAAGACCCGCGAGGGACCCGUACCUCCCCACGCUGUGUGCCAGCCUGGCCUGUCACAGCCUGCAGCCAAGCUCCCGGGUCCUUCACCCAGGGAGCCCAGGGGACCAGCCCCUCAUGCUGCCACUGAUACCUUACAGCCUUGAAAUUCUAAAAACCUAGAAAAUCACAGCACGGUACAAACGAAACGAAAGUCACCCAUAAUCUCACCACCUGGAAUGAACCACUCUGCCUUUUUGUGAA